rnacentral:rRNA from 1 species
GACGAACGCUGGCGGCGUGCUUAAUACAUGCAAGUCGAGCGAACAGGCCCGGCUUUUGCUGGUUUCUCGAUUGGCGAACGGGGGAGUAACACGUGAGUAUCCUGCCCUUGACUUUGUGAUAUCUUCACGAAACUCGGGCUCAUACCGGGUAGGAUCUCUUGCUGCAUGUUGGUCGUUGGUGAGUUUCGGCGGUUGGGGCUGGACUCGCGGCUUAUCAGCUUGAUGGUGGGGUAGUGGCUUACCAAGGCUUUGACGGGUAGCCGGCCUGAGAGGGUGACCGGCCACAUUGGGACUGAGAGACGGACCAGAAUGCAACGGGCGGCAGCAGGGGGGAAUAUUGCACAAUAGGCGGAAGCCAGAUGCAGCAACGCCGCGUGCGGGAUGACGGCCUUCGGGUUGUAAACCGCUUUCGACGGUGACGAAGAGUGAGUGACGGUAAUGGGUAAAGAAGCAACGGCUAACUACGUG